CGGUGAAGUGAUGGCCUGUCACCAGCUCCUUAAGAAGGACAUUUGAUCCUGUGCACAAAGAGAGAGUUACGCAUGGGGAAAUUCACCAAGGCACAGUUAAUCUGCAG